rnacentral:rRNA from 1 species
UACGAAGGGGGCUAGCGUUGCUCGGAAUGACUGGGCGUAAAGGGCGCGUAGGCGGCUUGCACAGUCAGGCGUGAAAUUCCUGGGCUCAACCUGGGGACUGCGCUUGAGACGUGUGGGCUUGAGUGGGGAAGAGGGUCGUGGAAUUCCCAGUGUAGAGGUGAAAUUCGUAGAUAUUGGGAAGAACACCGGUGGCGAAGGCGGCGACCUGGUCCUUGACUGACGCUGAGGCGCGAAAGCGUGGGGAGCGAACAGG